rnacentral:rRNA from 1 species
AUUGAACGCUGGCGGCAGGCCUAACACAUGCAAGUCGAGCGAGCGGCGGACGGGUGAGUAAUGUCUGGGAAACUGCCUCAUGGAGGGGGAUAAAUACUUGAAACGGUAGCUAAUACCGCAUACCCUCAGAUGUGCCCAGAUGGGAUUUGCUAGUAGGUGGGGUAACGGCUCACCUAGGCGACGAUCCCUAGCUGGUCUGAGAGGAUGACCAGCCACACUGGAACGGAGACACGGUCCAGACUCCUACGGGAGGCAGCAGUGGGGAAUAUUGGACAAUGGGCGCAAGCCUGAUGCAGCCAUGCCGCGUGUGUGAAGAAGGCCUUCGGGGUGUAAAGCACUUUCAGCGGGGAGGCGUUACCCGCAGAAGAAGCACCGGCUAACUCCGUGCCAGCAGCCGCGGUAAUUC